rnacentral:rRNA from 1 species
AUAACAGGUCUGUGAUGCCCUUAGAUGUCCUGGGCCGCACGCGCGUUACACUGAUGCACUCAACGAGUAUAUAACCUUGGCCGAGAGGCCUGGGUAAUCUUGUUAACUUGCACCGUGAUAGGGAUAGAUUAUUGCAAUUAUUAAUCUUGAACGAGGAAUUCCUAGUAAUCGCAGUUCAUCAAACUGCAAUGAUUACGUCCCUGCCCUUUGUACACACCGCCCGUCGCACCUACCGAUUGAAUGGUCCGGUGAAGACUCGAGAUUUUGGUCUAGCUCCUUUAUUGGGGCUUGACCGCGAGAACCUGUCUAAACCUUAUCAUUUAGAGGAAGGUGAAGUCGUAACAAGGUUUCCGUAGGUGAACCUGCAGAAGGAUCA